rnacentral:tRNA from 1 species
CAAGACGUAGCUAUAACAAAAGCAUUCAGCUUACACCUGAAAGAUAUCUGCAACACCACACAGAUCGUCUUGA